GUGGGGAAUAUUGGGCAAUGGGCGAAAGCCUGACCCAGCAACGCCGCGUGAAGGAAGAAGGUUUUCGGAUCGUAAACUUCUAUCCUUGGUGAAGAUAAUGACGGUAGCCAAGAAGGAAGCCCCGGCUAACUACGUGCCAGCAGCCGCGGUAAUACGUAGGGGGCAAGCGUUGUCCGGAAUGAUUGGGCGUAAAGGGCGCGUAGGCGGCCCGGUAAGUCUGAAGUGAAAGUCCUGCUUUUAAGGUGGGAAUUGCUGUGGAUACUGUCGGGCUUGAGUGCAGGAGAGGGAAGUGGAAUUCCUAGUGUAGCGGUGAAAUGCGUAGAUAUUAGGAGGAACACCAGUGGCGAAGGCGGCUUACUGGACUGUAACUGACGUUGAGGCUCGAAAGCGUGGGGAGCAAACAGGAUUAGAAACCCUAGUAGUCC
rnacentral:rRNA from 1 species